GUUUCUUUCUCUUUCUAGUUUAUCUCUAACCCUAACUCACAGCGGCGGCCUUCCCUCUCCAUCAUCGGAUCCCUCUCUUUAUCUGUGCAAAAGAUCGAUUGCUGAAUCACUCUCUCUAUGUCACUCUUUCUAUGCAACAAGGACAUCGAUGAGAGCUCAGGUACCGAUCUAUUUAAUGUUAAUGAUGUAUGGUCCUACGCUAGAACUUAUUGCACAGGUCACUGAAAGGAAAAUAGUUGUAAGAGAUGCAAACAGGUUCCAUUGUUUUGAAAGGGGAAUAUGUUCUUGUGGGGAUUACUGGUGACAAUGUUAAGAAUAGCAAAGAGGCCAGGCAGGUGUCUAUUGAGUAGCCAUUGAACUUA